GGUGAACGCUAGCGGUAGGCCUAACACAUGCAAGUCGAACGGCAGCACAGUAAGAGCUUGCUCUUACGGGUGGCGAGUGGCGGACGGGUGAGGAAUACAUCGGAAUCUACUUUUUCGUGGGGGAUAACGUAGGGAAACUUACGCUAAUACCGCAUACGACCUACGGGUGAAAGCAGGGGAUCUUCGGACCUUGCGCGAUUGAAUGAGCCGAUGUCGGAUUAGCUAGUUGGCGGGGUAAAGGCCCACCAAGGCGACGAUCCGUAGCUGGUCUGAGAGGAUGAUCAGCCACACUGGAACUGAGACACGGUCCAGACUCCUACGGGAGGCAGCAGUGGGGAAUAUUGGACAAUGGGCGCAAGCCUGAUCCAGCCAUACCGCGUGGGUGAAGAAGGCCUUCGGGUUGUAAAGCCCUUUUGUUGGGAAAGAAAAGCAGCAGGUUAAUACCCCGCUGUUCUGACGGUACCCAAAGAAUAAGCACCGGCUAACUUCGUG
rnacentral:rRNA from 1 species